GGCGUUGUGGCGGAGUGGUUAUCGCGACAGACUCGAAUUAGUCCCACUACAAUUCGGUUAUCUGUUUCCUUCGGGAGCACAAGUUCGAAUCUUGUCAACGUCG